CCCUUAGAUGUCCUGGGCUGCACGCGCGCUACACUGAUGUGUCCAGUAAGCACCUAACCUCUUCCGAAAGGAACGGGUAACCUUUGCAAAGCACAUCGUGAUGGGGAUAGAUUAUUGCAAUUAUUAGUCUUGAACGAGGAAUUCCUAGUAAGCACAAGUCAUCAGCUUGUGUUGAUUACGUCCCUGCCCUUUGUACACACCGCCCGUCGCUCCUACCGAUUGAAUGUUCCGGUGAGCUCUUCGGACUGCGCGGUCUGCAGUUUCUGCGUUCCGUGCGGAACGUUGCGCAAACCUUAACAUUUAGAGGAAGGAGAAGUCGUAACA
rnacentral:rRNA from 1 species